CUUUACAAAGGAUUCCCCUAGUAACGGCGAGUGAAGAGGGAAGAGCUCAAAUUUGAAAGCUUGUUCCUUCGGUAUCCGCGUUGUAACCUCGAGACACGUUUUUCGUGCGGCGCUAUGGACAAGUUCCUUGGAACAGGACAUCGUAKWSSSYSARWAWMCYRUACUUGCCAUGGGAURKACCGUGCUUUGCGAUACGUGCUCUAAGAGUCGAGUUGUUUGGGAUUGCAGCUCAAAAUGGGKGGUAGACUCCAUCUAAAGCUAAAUAUCGGGGAGAGACCGAUAGCGAACAAGUACCGUGAGGRAAAGAUGAAAAGCACUUUGGAAAGAGAGUUAAAAGUACGUGAAAUUGUCGAAAGGGAAGCGCYUGAAGUCAGCCAUGCCGCUCAGGACUCAGCCUGGCUUUUGCUUGGUGUAUUUCCUGGGUAGCAAGUCAGCAUUGGUUUGGAUCGUCGGAGAAGCAUAGUCGGAAUGUGGCGCCYYCGGGCGUKUUAUASCCUUCUAUUGGAUACGACGAUCUAGACCAAGGAAACGCAGCGGCCCUUUAAGGGCGGGGUCUUUCGGGACACCCUUCGCGCUUUAGGAAGGCUGGGCGUAAUGAGAGGGAAUUCUUUUUAAAA
rnacentral:rRNA from 1 species